GACGAACGCUGGCGGCGUGCUUAACACAUGCAAGUCGAACGGUAAGGCCCUUCGGGGUACACGAGUGGCGAACGGGUGAGUAACACGUGGGUGAUCUGCCCUGCACUUCGGGAUAAGCCUGGGAAACUGGGUCUAAUACCGGAUACUGACCACUGGGGGCAUCCUCGGUGGUCGAAAGCUCCGGCGGUGCAGGAUGAGCCCGCGGCCUAUCAGCUUGUUGGUGAGGGAGUGGCUCACCAAGGCGACGACGGGUAGCCGGCCUGAGAGGGCGACCGGCCGCACUGGGACUGCGACGCGGCCCAGACUCGUGCGGGAGGCAGCAGUGGGGAAUAUUGCACAAUGGGCGCAAGCCUGAUGCAGCGACGCCGCGUGAGGGACGACGGCCUUCGGGUUGUAAACCUCUUUCAGCACAGACGAAGCGCGAGUGACGGUAUGUGCAGAAGAAGGACCGGCCAACUACGUGCCAGCCGCCGCGGUAA
rnacentral:rRNA from 1 species